GGUCAGCUGAAGCUGUUUAAAAAAAGACGUGUCCGGUGACGCGCUCGCACCUCGAUUCAUUAAUAAACUAACGGACCACAUUGCUUCACACUGACUCUGUGUUCAGCUAAUGUGUUCUCCUUAUCUAGCUGCUGCUUUUCACUCUCUCUAAACGAGCUGGGAAAAGUCACUAUCAACUCUAUUACUGGCACCUGUGUGUCAAAUGAAGCAGCUUUCCACUUGCGAGACGGUAGGGGACACACACACACACACACACACAGGGCCGGAUGCAUUAUGGGCACAGGCGCAAGGGCCCGUGCGCACUUGGGGCCUAAGCGAUGGGAAGAAAACAUUUUUUCCUUUUAUCAUCUUUUUUUUCAUUGCUGAAAACGGAGGGCAAGGUCUGGUUGGGCCACACGAGAUUGAAAAAAGACACACACUACUUAACAUCUCGGCCGUCGGAGUGUAGCACCUCAAAGUAGGUUUAGACGCGUUGGGCCCGAGUUCGAAUCUGCUUUUUGCCGAACUCGUGCUUAUCCCUUAGGCUGUGUGAAAGCACAAUAGUGCGUCCUGUUUCCGCACUACAUCCGUACUGCAAACGGAGUAUGUGUGAACCAGCUCAAUUCAGCAUGUCCAGCACAGCAAAAACAGACUUACUGCAGAAACGUUCGGUGCACUGCCGCACCGCCGCACCGCACCGCACCGCUCCUGUAACGCAUUAGCCGCGCCGCAUCCGUAUGCAGUGUGAAUACUCUAACCUGUGAACAUGGGCACGGGAAAAAAAAUACGCACUGCAAACAAAGUAUGUGUGAACCUGGCCUAACGCUUGGAGGAGGGAGACAGACAAAGCGAGGCAGCCCCUGGAGAGCCGAGGAGAAAAGGACCAAAAGAGCAUCUGGAGACAGGAGAGGAGGAGCUGAGGAGGAGAGAGACAGACAGGAAGGAAACAUUAACAGUGUAGAAUAUGAUGCAUUGGUGAAGUGAUGAGCCAUAGUGCUAAUGCUGACUGAGGGGGUGCAGACUGAAGCACAUUGGGGGGAGUAGAGAGCAACAACGACUAAUUGGACUGAGCGGUUACAAGUACCUGCUGAAAGAGGAGAUUAAUGAAACACUGGAGGCUUUUUUCUGACAGUGCUCCCCUAAUAGGCUUUUUCAUCUCUAAAGCCAAUAAUCAUGUGAAAUGUAGUCCAAUAAGUUCCAGGGAAACACAGAUCUGUGUUCUAGUAAACUCAGUUAUCUGCAUUUCCACGUAUAUCUUGCGCAUGGACUAUGUUAAUUUUUUCCCCAUUUGUGAUUGACAAUAGAAAAUGUAUCUUAUACACACGGUUUUGCAAUAUCUACAAAACCAGUCCACUGUAUUGCACUGUAUAAUGCAUGCUAAAUAUUUCU